GUCCACGCCCUAAACGAUGGAUACUAGGCGUAAGAGGUAUCGACCCCUCUUGUGCCGCAGCUAACGCACUAAGUAUCCCGCCUGGGGAGUACGGCCGCAAGGUUGAAACUCAAAUGAAUUGACGGGGACCCGCACAAGCGGUGGAGCAUGUGGAUUAAUUCGAUACUAACCGAAGAACCUUACCCAGGUUUGACAUCGAUUGUAAGCCCGAGAGAUCGGGCCCUCCCCCACAAGGGGACAUGAAGACACUUGUUGCAUGGCUGUCGU
rnacentral:rRNA from 1 species